GACGAAGGUGGCGAGCGUUGUUCGGUGUUACUGGGCUUAAAGAGUGUGUAGGCGGAAAGGUAAGCGUCCUGUGAAAGCCCUCGGCUUAACCGAGGAAUCGCUUGACGAACUGCUUUUCUUGAGGCAAGUAGGGGUGCAUGGAACUCUUGGUGGAGCGGUGGAAUGCGUAGAUAUCAAGAGGAACGCCGGUGGUGAAAACGGUGCACUGGGCUUGUCCUGACGCUGAGACACGAAAGCGUGGGGAGCGAACGGGAUUAGAUACCCCCGUA
rnacentral:rRNA from 1 species